rnacentral:rRNA from 1 species
UAAGACAGAGGUGGCGAGCGUUGUUCGGAAUUACUGGGCUUAAAGGGCGAGUAGGCGGUGGGACAAGUCUGAUGUGGAAUCCUAAGGCUUAACCAUAGAACUGCAUUAGAAACUGUUUUACUUGAGUCAGUGAGGGGAGGGCGGAAUUCCUGGUGUAGCGGUGAAAUGCGUAGAUAUCAGGAGGAAGGCCGGUGGCGAAGGCGGCCCUCUGGCACUGUACUGACGCUGAGGCGCGAAAGCGUGGGGAGCAAACAGGAUUAGAUACCCUGGUAGUCCACGCCCUAAACGGUGGGCAUUAGGUGUAGGGCUCGUAAGGGUUCUGUGCCGAAGGGAAACCAUUAAAUGCCCCGCCUGGGGAAUACGGCCGCAAGGUUGAAACUUAAAGGAAUUGACGG